AAAUAUUCUAGUAGCUUAACCCAUUUAAAGCAUUGGUCUUGUAAACCAAAGAAUGAA
rnacentral:tRNA from 1 species